rnacentral:misc_RNA from 1 species
GGGGAAUCUGGAAAGUAAAUACAACCAAAAUUUUAAUCACAAAAUGAUACUGAAUUGGCUUCAAUGGUCCAUCUAGUGCUUCUUUCUCUAGAUAUCUUCCUUUAGCAGAUAAUUGUUAGAAGAUGGUUAGCAUUGCUGAAUUGAUAUGAAAUGGAAGUUGAAGAAACUUAGAUUGUGAAUUAUUUAUGUUAGUGAUCUUCU